UAAUUUAAAGCUUAUUUAGUAAAGUAUUUCAUUUACAUUGAAAAGAAAUUUGUGCAAAUCAAUUUAAAUUAA
rnacentral:tRNA from 1 species